CCUACGGGAGGCAGCAGUAGUGAAUAUUGCUCAAUGGGGGAAACCCUGAAGCAGCAACGCCGCGUGGAGGAUGAAGGUUUUCGGAUUGUAAACUCCUUUUGUUAGAGAAGAUAAUGACGGUAUCUAACGAAUAAGCACCGGCUAACUCCGUUCCAGCAGCCGCGGUAAUACGGAGGGUGCAAGCGUUACUCGGAAUCACUGGGCGUAAAGAGCGCGUAGGCGGGAUAGCAAGUCAGAUGUGAAAUCCUAUGGCUUAACCAUAGAACUGCAGUUGAAACUGUUAUUCUAGAGUAUGGGAGAGGUAGGUGGAAUUCUUGGUGUAGGGGUAAAAUGCGUAGAGAUCAAGAGGAAUACUCAUUGCGAAGGCGACCUGCUAGAACAUAACUGACGCUGAUGCGCGAAAGCGUGGGGAGCAAACAGGAUUAGAUACCCGUGUAGUC
rnacentral:rRNA from 1 species